AACUAAUCCCAACACCACCCAAGAACCCUUAUACAGUACUGAGUAAUUCUAUACCCCUAUAGAAAAUUUUAUGUUAAAACUAGUAACAAGAAGAAAAACUUCUCCUACGAUGCAAGUGUAAAUCAGACAGGACACCCCGCUGAUAAUUAACACUAAUGAACAAAAAGUAGCAACUCAACAAGAAAAACCUACUACACCCUAUGUUAAUCUAACACCAGGGCAUCACAGGAAAGAUUAAAAGAAAGAAAAGGAACUCGGCAAAUAUUAACCUCGCCUGUUUACCAAAAACAUCGCCUCUUGAUAAAAUAUAAGAGGUCCAGCCUGCCCAGUGACUCUGUUCAACGGCCGCGGUAUCCUAACCGUGCGAAGGUAGCGUAAUCACUUGUUCUUUAAAUGAGGACUAGUAUGAAUGGCACCACGAAGGUUAUACUGUCUCUUCUUUCCAAUCAGUGAAACUAAUCUCCCCGUGAAGAAGCGAGGAUAAAAAUAUAAGACGAGAAGACCCUAUGGAGCUUUAAACCACACAACACCUGCUUUCACUUACCUAAAUUUCAGAAAACCCCUCUUUACCCCAGCAGAAUGAUUGCCAGUUUUAGGUUGGGGUGACCGCGGAGCAAAAAACAACCUCCACAUUGAAAGGGCACCUGCCCCUUAGCUAAGAGCCACACCUCCACGCAACAAUAAAAUGACAUUAAUUGACCCAAUAUAUUGAUCAACGAACCAAGUUACCCUAGGGAUAACAGCGCAUCCACUUCAAGAGCCCCUAUCGACAAGUGGGUUUACGACCUCGAUGUUGGAUCAGGGUAUCCCGGUGGUGCAGCCGCUACCAAAGGUUCGUUUGUU
rnacentral:rRNA from 1 species